CAAGUAGAAUAUUCCGGUCAUCGGGGAGUAGCUUCCUUCCGUCGAAUAGAAGGGCUUGCAUCAACAUACUUGACCCGUGGUCGUGGUGCAAGGAGUUCGUGCCUGGCAAGACCUUUGACCACAUUGUCUCCGGAAGGGCGGGGAGAAGCCUGGUCUCGCUUCUUGUCCGGCCUGGAGCGUA
rnacentral:sRNA from 21 species